rnacentral:lncRNA from 1 species
GCCUGACGCCGGCUCACCUUUCGCAAAGGAUGCCUGACACCAAAUCUCUCUGCUGAUAAAAUAGUUCAAGGACAACAAAGGGGAUGAUCGAUCGUAUUUCAGAGAAUAUGGUGAAAAAAUUGAGAUUUGACAUGAUGAAUAACAAUUUCUUUCAUCCAAAGCGAUCGACCACGUGGCUAUGCACGCGAUGACUCUCCAUUGGACUCAGAAGUGGAGGGACAAUUGUUG